rnacentral:lncRNA from 1 species
GGGCACGGAAGUUGUGCAUUCAAGACCAUCCCAGACCUCGCCCUGUGUGUGUCUUCAUUUGGCUGCGUCCUGAUCUGUAUCCUUUACAACAAACCUAUAAUCAUAAAAUAUAGCACUUCCUUGAGCUGUGUGAGUCAUUCUAGCAAACUAUUGAUUCUGAGAGGGGUCAUGGAAACCCUCCAGAUUUGUGGCCUUUGGGUCAGAAUCGCGGGUGGCCUGGGGACCCCUGAACUUGUGCCUGGUGUCUGCAGUGGGAGCAGUCUUAAUGGGGACCACGCCCUUAAACCUGUGGGAUAUGCGCCAACUCCAGGUGGAAUUCAUGAAGCUUAGAACAGCGCUUGUGUCAAAGGAGCGACAUUGUGGAAAACACAUGGAGAUCGGAAUUACCGUUUUUGGAGACUGUAUAGAUCUGGCGG